rnacentral:miRNA from 1 species
GAUCCAUCUCUGCCUGUAUUGGC